UGGGGAAUAUUGCACAAUGGAGGGAACUCUGAUGCAGCGACGCCGCGUGAACGAAGAAGGUUUUCGUGUCGUAAAGUUCUUUUAUAUGGGAAGAUAAUGACGGUACCAUAAGAAAAAGCCCCGGCUAACUACGUGCCAGCACCCGCGGUAAUACGUAGGGGGCUAGCGUUGUCCGGAAUCACUGGGAGUAAAGGGUUCGCAGGCGGAAAUGCAAGUCAGGGGUAAAAGGCAGUAGCUUAACUACUGUAAGCAUUUGAAACUGCAUAUCUUGAGAAGAGUAGAGGUAAGUGGAAUUUUUAGUGAAGCGGUGAAAUGCGUAGAAAUUAAAAAGAAUACCGGGGGCGAAGGCGACUUACUGGGCUCAUGCAGACGCUGAGGAACGAAAGCGUGGGUAGCAAACAGG
rnacentral:rRNA from 1 species